GAGGGAAGAUAAGAGGGGAAAAUGGAAGGGAUGAGUAACAAAAGUGAAAACAAAAAUUAAAAACUGAAAUCUAUUUAAAAUUGUUUUCACUUUUGUUACUCAUUCCUCCCAUCCUCUCCUCUCAUUCUCUCUCU
rnacentral:miRNA from 1 species